rnacentral:lncRNA from 10 species
CAGACCCGACCAGACCAGAAAUCUAUCACCUGGGACCAGAGAAGUCUGAGAGGGGAGUUACAAGGAUAAUCAAAAGGUCUUCAGGAGGCUCCAAGACCAGCAGGCAUAUAAGCAAAACGGAACAUAGACACUGGAAGCAACUUUCCUGUGUUAGUAAGCCAGCAGCAUCCUCACACCAUGCGACUUUACAACAACUGCUGCCCUAUCCUCAGAGCCUCUGCCCGGCAUGGACUGGGGCACUCAGAAUGGUAUCCCUUGAUAUAAUGCAUAUACGAUGGCACUGUCUACCACCUCCUCAUGCCUAAACAUUUCUCAGUUUUCAGAUUUAGAGUCUCAAAACUGUUUCCACAGUAUUGAACUCCCAGUUUUCUAAACCCCAACACGUUUCUUUCUU